GAAAACAAUAUACUCAUAUCCACCCUGCAAGUCUUCAAUGCCCUCUGAAAUGCAUAUAAAAACUUCUUUAAUUCCUCUUAACAACCCACAUUUAUUUUCAUCAUUUGGCUGAACGGAAGAUAUCCAAAUGGGCCAGACAUUGAUGACAUUAGCUCAAGGAAGUGGGCAAAAUAGAGAAAAGGAGUUGGGUUCUACAAUAGAAGAUUGCUAUGACAAGUAUUUUGCAGAAAAAUCAAAGGAUUUGACCUUAUCUGACUUCUACGGGGCAGUUUGUCAAACUGUAGAGUACGUACAUACAUCACAUGCAAUUAAAUCUUUUUAAUCUCAUUGAGGAAGAUUAACAUUUUUGCUUAUGUGAAUUAAUUAAUAGAGAUAUUAAUAAGAAGCUCAAUAGCACACAAUUCCGUGUGCCUGAAGCUGAUAAGCUCAAGGAAGUAUACCAGAUUCACUACAAAGAUAAAGGAAAAUCACUGACAAAGGAAGAGUUCCAAAAAAUUCUUCAAGAAAUCAUAAUGCACACAGGUUUUACAGGCUUUGGAUCAAAAGAUAUACUUAUCUUCCUGUAUGGAAUUCCUGCAGCUGCCUUGUUUAUCAAGCAACGUGUAGCACCCAAAGCUAUUCCUAAUGAUGUAUUCAUCCCUGGAAUAACUUCUGCCAGUGUUUUCCUCCUUGCCAAGCUAAACAAAAUAUGAUCAUCUGCCUCUUUGCUCCAUUAAUUCCAAUGAUUUUUUUUUCCUUUUUCUUAUUUGUAAAAGUUUAUAUUAAUAUUAUGUGUGAAAAUUAUUCUGUCAGUGCUUAAUUCUAUAAAUUGGUUUCAG
rnacentral:misc_RNA from 1 species